UACGAAGGGGGCUAGCGUUGCUCGGAAUCACUGGGCGUAAAGCGCAUGUAGGCGGAUCUUUAAGUCAGGGGUGAAAUCCUGGAGCUCAACUCCAGAACUGCCUUUGAUACUGGGGAUCUCGAGUCCGGGAGAGGUGAGUGGAACUCCGAGUGUAGAGGUGAAAUUCGUAGAUAUUCGGAAGAACACCAGUGGCGAAGGCGGCUCACUGGCCCGGUACUGACGCUGAGGUGCGAAAGCGUGGGGAGCGAACAGG
rnacentral:rRNA from 1 species